rnacentral:rRNA from 1 species
AUUGAACGCUGGCGGCAGGCUUAACACAUGCAAGUCGAGCGGGGGGAGGUAGCUUGCUACCGGACCUAGCGGCGGACGGGUGAGUAAUGCUUAGGAACCUGCCUAUUAGUGGGGGACAACAUCUCGAAAGGGAUGCUAAUACCGCAUACGUCCUACGGGAGAAAGCAGGGGAUCUUCGGAUCUUGCGCUAAUAGAUGAGCCUAAGUCGGAUUAGCUAGUUGGUGGGGUAAAGGCCUACCAAGGCGACGAUCUGUAGCGGGUCUGAGAGGAUGAACCGCGAAACUGGGACUGAGACACGGCCCAGACUCCUACGGGAGGUAGCAGUGGGGAAUAUUGGAAAAUGGGGGGAACCCUGAUCCAGCCAUGCCGCGUGUGUGAAGAAGGCCUUAUGGUUGUAAAGCACUUUAAGCGAGGAGGAGGCUACUUUAGUUAAUACCUAGAGAUAGUGGACGUUACUCGCAGAAUAAGCACCGGCUAACUCUGUGCCAGCCGCCGCAGUAA